ensembl:lncRNA
AUGUAUGUCCAAGAAAACAAAGAGCAUGGACCCCAUGUCUGUAACCAUGGUUACCUGUGGCGGUGCCGAGCUGGGGCAGUCGGGACAAGGCCCUCUGCCGGCCGCGGCGGCGGCGGCGGCGGCGUCCUGCUGCUGCCCGGGGGGCCUCACAGGCGGGGCCGGCCCGGCGGGUCUCGGGGCGGCGGCGGCCCCCCCGUAGGACUGGAGCUGGGCGCCGAGCUGCGGCGAGACCGUGUGCACCUGAACGCUGGUGAGCGUGGGGAUGGACGUGCGGCGCGGCGAGACGGCGCCGCCACCGCCGGGGGGUCUGGGCGGGCCCGGGGAGGCCGGCGUCCUCAGGCUGGAAGGUUUGCUGGAGACGGGAGGUCCUCUCCCUGUGGAGCCCACUCUCUGGAAGAUCAUCCCCGGUUGCUGCUGGCCGCCGCCGCCGCCACCGCCGCCGCCGCCGCCGCCGCCGCCGCCGCCGCCGCCGAAGCCGAAGCCAAUCGUGGGCGAGGCCCCGCCCUCCGAGCCAUCGGUGGGCGUGACCGGCCCCUCCGGCGUCUGCCCGUCCGGUCUCGGUACUUGGGCCGCCUCUUGACGGUGUCCGACUCUUUGAGGUUGAACUCCGGGAGGUCCAGGGUCUUGGGUGGGCUCCGCGCCGGGCCUUCCGACGGAGGGGCCGCGGCCUCGGGGUCCGAGUCCUGCCUGGACCCCGACGCCAGCCGGGGCCGCUGCCUGAUGGUGAGGUUGCCCUCCUCCGCGAAGGGGAGGCCGAGGCCGGCGCUCCGCCUCGGGGAGCCGACGGGAGCAGGGCUGGCGUUCCUGGCGAUCGUGUCGGCGGCGCUGGCCGUGUUCGUGGCGCUCCUCCUCCCUCCCUCCCUGUCCUCCCCCGCUCCCUCCCUGCCUCCCCCUCUCUCUGCCCUUCUCUCACUCCCACCCUGCACUCUCUCGCUGGCCACCCUCCGGAGCUGGAGACCCAGGGUGGGGCCAGCUGUAGAGGGCUCCACUAAGGGGUGGUGGUGGUGGGGGUGGCGUGGGGACAUCUGGGGGCUCAGUGUCUCACGGGGGGGCGGGACGUCCCUCCUCCUGGAGGGACUUGCCCCGCCUCCUCCCUCCAGCCUGGCAACGCCUCCUCCCUCCAGCCUGGCCACGACCCCUCCCUCCAGCCUGGCCACGCCUCCUCCCUCCAGCCUGGCCAGACCGCCUCCCUCCAGCCUGGCCACGCCUCCUCCCUCCAGCUUGGCCCCGCCCCCUCCCUCAGGCCUGGCCCCGCCUCCUCCCUCAGGCCUGGUCACGCCCCCUCCCUCCAGCCUGGCCACGCCCCCUCCCUCCAGCCUGGCCACGCCUCCACCCUCAGGUCUGGCCCCGCCCCCUCCCUCUAGCCGGGCGGCGAUGCUCCGAACGGUACGCACAAUCUCUCCCUCCGCCUGCGCCACCAGCGACGAGUUGGACUCCGUCCCGACAAACAGGCCAGGCUCCGCCCCAUCAAACAAGCUAAGCUCCGCCCCCGGGCCGACGGUGACCGAGCUCAUCCUCUUGGGCGGGGGCGGGGGCGGACCCUUGCGGCGGGAGCGCACGGCGAAGGAUUGGCUGCGGUUGAGCUUGGGCCGCUCUUCACUCUCUGCGGGCGGGGCGCCACGCCCCCCGCGGCGCCCCAGCGUGGCGUACGACGGCACGGAGGAGGAGGAGGGGGUGGUGGAGGAGGAGGAGGAGGAGCAUGGGACCCGGGUCAGGUGGUUGUCGUGGAGACGGUGGAGGCCCUCGUCGCCGUGGUCGCCGUCCGACGGGGCGUAG